rnacentral:misc_RNA from 1 species
GUGAAUCAUCGAAUUUUUGAACGCAAAUUGCACUCUCCGGUUUUCCGGGAGAGUAUGCCUGUUUGAGGGUCAGCCUAAAAAAAAUCGACAUUGUUGCUGUUAUUUAAUGGUGACUUUCGUCGGAGAUUGGGUUAUCUUAAACCUUUUUUUUUUUGGUUUUUGCGAGUUAUAAUUUUUUUUUACUCGAUUCUGUGUGU